rnacentral:lncRNA from 1 species
UUUUUAAUAUUUUUAGUUGUAGGUGGCCACAUUACCUUUAUUUUAUUUAUUUGUACAUGGUGCUGAGGAUGGAACCCAGGGCCUCACACAUGCUAAGCGAGUGCUCUAUCACUGAGCCACAAUCCCAGCCCCCUCCUGCCGGGAUUCUGACCCUGCUAUAUUUUUCCUGGCCUCAUAGGUCUUCCUUUGAAAUCAGUAGAAGUCUCCAUGACCCCUUAACUCCAGCAUCCUGCAUUCCUUCAGAACCAGCACCAUGUGGAAGAUGCCAAGCUUUGCUGCCAGCUUAAGCAGUAGCCUGGGCCCACUUCAACAUUACUAUAGCAGACUGUGAGUGCCUGAGUUGCUAAGCACAAUGAACCAAAUGAACCAAUGGAACAAUUUCCUAAGCAACCCUGUGUAACCACAUCUUCCUUGACUCUAGUUUUACACUUACUUUUCUGGCCAAGCUUCAAAUUUUUAAAAUCCUUCCUCACUGUUUUUUGCUCCUGAUUAUCACACUAAAAUUGACUAAAAACUGCCAGAAAUGUCCAUGAUAUCACCUGAACACUGUGCUACCUUGAAAUUUCCCCCACCCUAUUAGUCCAUUAGCUUUAAAUUCAGCCUCAAAAAAAAAAAGAAAAAAGUCUGAGAACAUGAGCAACAUGCAGACAAGUUCUUUACCAGAUUGUAACAUGAAUGGCCUCUAGACCAAUUUCCAGUAGUCUCCCAGUUCCCCUCUGAAACCUCAUGAGCACAGCCUUUACUGUCUUCAUUCCUUCGGCAUUCUGGUCUUCAGAGUUCAUAUCAGAAUCAUCCACUAAGCUCUGUUUACAACAUUGUAAGGCUUCACUGGCCUACAUCACCAAACUUUUCCAAAUUCCUCCUGCAAACCAGACUUCUGAACCACAUAGUGAAGAAUAGGCACAGCAACAAUCCCACUUCUUGGUACCAAUUUCUAUUUUAGUUUCAGAUUUUCAUCACUGUGACCAAAAUACUGACAAGACAACUUAGAGGAGAAUAAGUUUAUUUUGGCUCAUGGUUUCAGAGGUCUCAAUUCAUGAUUGACCAGUUUUAUCAUUCUGGGCCCAAGGUGCAGCAGCACAUCAUGGUGGAAAGGCAUAGCAGAGAAAAGGUACUCAAUUCUUGGUGGCUAGGAAGCAGAAAGGAAAAAGGAAGGACCAGGGGACAAGAUAUAAUACCCAAGACAUGCCCCCAGUAACCCACUUCCUCCAGCCACAUCCCAAUAGUUACCAUCCAAUACACUAGUCCUCUCCCAAGUAUUAACCCACCAAAUGGGUCAAUCCACUGAAUAGGUUACAACUCUCAUAAUCUAAUCAUUUUAUCUCUGAACAUCCCUGCAUUAACACAGGAACUUUGGGGGGUGAUACCUCAUAUCUAAACCACAACAGAUAGAAUAAUUCUAUAUAUUUUGUAACUAAUAAAAUGGUCUUUAUAUAUAUAUAUAUAUCAAGAAAACCUUUGAAUUUUCCAUUUAGUUCUCAGUUGUUGAAAGGUUUAUCAAAUAAAAACAGUGCAUUGGUCUAGUCCCUAGAAACAAAGUAAGCAGGCAAACCAUUGCCUUCAUGGAAAGUCUGCAUGGUAGUGGAAAAAUAAAGAAAUUACCAAAAAUAUAAAUUUUGGACAAUAAUAAAUUAAAGAAAACAAAGCAGGACAUAAGGUUAAAGCAUGAUGAGAAAAGCUGUGAUAAGAGAAGGCUUCAUAAGGACCUAGCAUUUAUAUAGAGAUAUGAAUGAAAUGAGGGAGCAAGUUAUAUACAUGGCUUUUAAGAAUAAGGGAAAGGGAAUUACAAAGACCUUAAGGGAAAAAAAUACUUUCAAAUAAUUCAAUUAUACAUAUUUAUUACUAUUAUUAUUAUUAUUUUU